AUCCAUUCAGAUCGUUGAGGAUGGUAUGGUUAGCUUGCUGUGGUUUAAAAAAUGUGGUAGAUAAAUGUAUAUUUUCCAUUAACAGGAUGAACAAGAAAGAAAUGCCAGCAAAGAAAACGUUCUGGAUUCCAACCCAGAAAAUGAAGGACUGAGAGAACACCCGUUAACGGAAUGAGCCAUCUCAUCCAGACCAGGUCUGAGAGCUUCAGACUCUGAAACCUCAUUGGAGAGAGACAUCACUGUAGCCCAUCUUCCCCAGCAGGAGCUCUUCCCUGGGUGUGGUGUGUUCAUCUCAUCGUUCCGCCUUGCUGCCAUGAACCACGCAUCGAAACCACAUCGCAUGCAUCAGUCUCAUGGACUUUCUGAUCAUUUCUUCACUGUUGAGGAGAAUCAACAUCCAGUUCCUUUUGGUCGUCCUUGAAAUAAUCCCUCCGGAAAAGAAGGAAAGCGGAUCCGUCAACGCAAUCCUAACUUAUAUCCUGAGAUGGGACACUCCACCUGGUAAAGAAACAAUUGUGGAGGUCAGAGUCAAGAAAGCCUUUGUCAACAAAUGUAGGACCAGAGCCGGUUCUAAGCAGUAGGUCACUGCUAUGAUCUACAGUAUGUGGACUGGUUACUCUUUCAUCCUUUAUUUAUUUUGAAUUUUAAUGGACCAUGACUUUCAAUGCAGUUCCUGCCAAGUGUGUUCUAGGAUUUGGAAGCAUGUAAGUUCUCUUGUCUCAAAGCCAAGUGAGAUUCUUCCUUGUACCUGUGCUGUCAGUAUGUUUGUUGUUUACAUUCUGGAAGCAUUCAUUACCACCAUGUCGGUCAGAUUGAGUAUGCCACAGUUCAUGUACUUAAUGCAAUUCCAUAAGAAAAAGUUUUCACUGUUUUAAAUAGAUCUCCGGGUAUAAUACCACACAAUCUUGUGAAUGUAUUUCUGGUUGUAUUCAAAAUAUUCCAUUAAGAAGCCAGGUGGUUUUAACUCUUGUGCUAUCCUAGACAUGUUUACAUUAAAAGUGGGGUCGACAGCGCCCUGAAGUUUUUUUCCCAAGGAUUUUGAAUCUUCUCUGGUGUCGGUGGCAGACAUAAGAUCCUGUCCAAAUUUGUUAUGGGAG
rnacentral:lncRNA from 1 species